ACGAUGGACUGAAACCUCUGCAAAUUGUGGGGAAGGAGGAAAAGAGAUGACAGAAAACUACUCUGAACAAGUAGAAAGAAUUCGAAAGUGAAUUGCUCCAAGGCGAGAUCCAGCGACUUCAGAAAAAGCCCCACCUAUGAUCAAAUGAGGCUUUGAGGGGGACAUCUAGACACAAGCCAUAACAGGUAGUUAUAAUUUUAUUAUUUGGCCCAUAUUUAUCCCUGACCAAUGAUUUUCUUCCUUUUGAAAUCUUGAUAGACUGUUUCCUCCCUACAUCUCCAUUAUGACUUUAUAGUACUUAUUUGAAACUAUGAAAUGAUACUAGUGAAUUUUCUGUUUAACAGUAUUUAGCCAGAGAUUUAGCUCAGUGGUUCCGCUGCCUGCCUCACAAGUGCAAG
ensembl:lncRNA